UGCCUCUUCUAUAAGUACGGCAAUUCUAGCAGCGAUAUCAUCUCAUCCUAAGCUAGCUAUUAUAACUCGAUCAAACUGAUCAUCGCCAAUGGCGGUCAAGUCUCUAGUUCUUCUUGGUGUCGUACUAGCCUCGCUCCUGCUUCUCUCCGAGGAUGUAGCGGAUGCUAGAGAGCUUACAGAUGCUAAAGGUUUGUAACUUAUAUGUAUUUACUAACACAGUAGACUACACAACUCAUACUUCAUCCUAUAUAUGCACGGCUACCCUGUCUACCUCAAGCAAUGUUCACUACUUGUCUACCCGAAAAUAUAUAUUAGAGCAUAUGCACCCAUGCCCUCUCUAUCUAGCCAUCCAUUUCCUGCUUUAAGAUUCGUGAAAAUACAUUUCUUUUUUUUGUUUCUUCCACAUAGAACAUAUCUUGAAGUUCAAACCUAUGCAGUGUGGCAAAGCUUUCUAAGUAGAAUCUAGGAUAAAUCUUUCAGAUUUUUUUGUCAAAUAUAAAUAUAUAAAAUACGUAUUGUUUGAUUAAAAAAUCAUAUUUUUAGUAUUUAUGGCGGACAAAAAUUCUGAAAGAUUUAUCCUAGAUUCUAGUUGAAAGCUUUGGCAUGCUGCAUAGGUUUGGACUUCAAGAUAUGUUCUAUGUGGGAGAAACAAAAAAGAGAAAAUUUCAUAUCGAAAGUUAGUUGUGCCGCACGGAUCUUAAAGCGAUAUUGGAGAGCUAGGAUAGCAGGGCCUAGGUGCAAGUGCUCUAAAAAUCCACGUCCCUUGUCUACCUCAAGCAAUGUUCACUAAGGAAUUUUGUUCAUGCAGAGUCCAAGGAGAAGAAUGUGAAACCUGCAAGAGGGUCGGGCCUGCCUAAGGAAGAGAAAUGGGGAGGUGGAAACAAGCAUGAUGGAGGAUACGGAGACGGUGGAGGGUAUGGCGGUGGCGGGUACGGUAACGGUGGGGGAUAUGGAAAUAGUGGUGGAGGUUAUGGCUAUGGAGGUUAUGGAAACAAUGAUGGUGGGUAUGGUGGAGGAUACGGCAAUUCUGGGCAUGGUUACGACGGUGGAGGCUAUGGACCUGGAUAUGGUGGCGGGUAUGGCAAUGGCGGUGGAAAUGGUGGAUUUGGCAGCGGCUUUGGUGGGGGAUAUGGUGGUGGCGGCGGAUAUGGUGGAGGUGGAGGAUACGGUGGCGGUGGCGGUGGAGGUUACGGUGGAGGAUAUGGUGGCGGUGGCUAUCCUUGAUAUGGAUAUUUGCAAGAGGUCACAAUGGUUGGAACUAUGAAAACAACACUAGAUAUGUGUUUGUGUUUUAAUUAAGCAUCUGUGUUGUUAUGUGAUAUGGUUAAAUAAAAAAAUGGUCCUUAUGGUCGCGUUAUAGGAGCAAGGUCUGUAAGGUUGAGAAGUCAGGCGAGCAAGCCAACCUUGUGUUGUUUCUUAUUAUGUAUAAAAUAGAAGAUAUGUUUUAAAUUGUAAGUGGGCUUUGAUUAUUGAUUUUUCUUAAACACAGAGAGAUCUGUGUGCCUAUAUAUCAUGAUAAAAAGUAUCUAUGAUUUACAAGAGUAGCUCCAUGGCGCCAACAAGGGUGGCAGCCCAAGCGGUGUACAACAAGGGACUUAUGGUACUAUUCUUCUUAAAUUAUUGUUUUCUACCGUCCGCCACUCACGGCAAUGAUCACGCACUCCAUCAACUACCGCAGUAGGGAGCAAAGAGGUGUGCUUGAAGACACGCCGGCUCCUCUCAAGCCAAGUGCAUUGUAGCGAGGAAAUCACCACCUAGUUGACGCCCUUGCGAAGCUUUGGCGGGAUGGACAGUUGCCAAGAGGUCCACCAUUGAAGGAUAGAAUCAUUCACCAUUAGGGCAAGAUGGGUGAGAGCCCAAGAACGAUCUAGUGAAGGAUGUCAUUUGACAAGUAAAAAACUGUGGAAAUCAUAGUCAUCUUGGAUCAAAAGCACUGCACCUCACUUUUUUUUAAUCGAUCUUCAACCGGACCAUUGUUUCAAACGUGUCGACUUGAAAUUCCUAACAUAUUUAUCAUCUUUUAAAAACAAUAUGAUAUCAUCAACAUAUCUACAUAUGACUACACCACUAGGAUUUAGGAAUGAUAUAGGGGUUGACAUAAAGAAAAUGAAUGACAAGAGGUGUAACAUGAAUACAUGACACAGUAGUUUGGCAGGCAAAACAAUUUUCUGACCUGCAUAUCUAGUCCAUUGAAUUGACAUAAACUAUAAUCUCCCCAUCAAACUCAACCAAAACCAUACUUACGAUUUCUUUUUAAUAUCAAGAUCCAUGGAUGCCGCAUCAAGAGUCCUUUGCGCGUGUGUGCUCAUGCUCAGCCGUAGGUGUACAAGCACGGAGGCCAAGGCAGCGGCUGAAGAAAGCAGAGAAUAGACGCCCAACCAUUUCAUGAUCGAAUUCUCCAAUUGUAAAUCUCCAGCUAGCAGGAAAUCAUCGUCAGCACAGCAUUCGGGCAACAGCAAGCCGAAACGCAAAAUAUGUGCAAUCAUUUGCCGAUCAGCCACAAGUUGACGUGGCGCCAUAUGAAUUCGGCGGCGAGUUGGGUACCCUCUUUGACUUGUCAAGCAAAUGUUGUUGUUGUAAUUCUUGCUUCAAUACACAUGUGGUAUUUAAAUAGAUCAAACUAUUACUCCCUCCGUUCGGAGUUAGUUGUCACAGAAAUGGAUGUAUCUAGACGAACGGAGGGAGUAUUACCCAAUGAGACAUGAGAUUGGUUUGGUUUGUAUCUUUUUCGUAGAUUGCUUCAAUAACACAGUACCCAUGCACGGUAGGCACAGAUUGGUUUGUAUCUUUUUCGUAGAUUCAUUGUUUUCAUAAUGUUUAGGAACAAAAAACCAAAAGAAACCGAAAAACCGAUAAAAGAAUCAAAACCAGAUGGUGUAGUACCUAAACUAUCUACACAAGCCAGCCCAUCGCCGCUCGCCCUCUGCAAAGCACCAGCAAUUUGCCGCAAUAUGCGGCAAAUAGGGAAUUCCAAAAUGCGCCUCAAUUUACACUUAUAUUAUUAACCUGAAGCAUAGAAAGGGGUGUUUUGACACAUCUGCCAUAAAAAAUUGUUCUCACACUACAACAAGCGAAUUGUAAUUUCUUCCACUUGCUAUCAUCAUGGAUGCAUACGUUCAGUGUAGGAUUGCAUCAGUAAUCAAUGUUUAAAAUGAAUGCAAUGUGGUUGGUGCCAUGCAGGGGCUUCAGAGUGUUUCAGGCCUCGUUGAACUUGAAGACGCAAUCGUAAAGCCUUCCACCCAAAAACUGCGCCACUUCAGGAUGCUUGACCUGGAACAGAGCAAUAAAACAGUAGUUUGUGAACUUCAGUAACCAGUUUGUGUUAAAUCAUAGUCUGCAGCUAAUCUGGAUAAUCUUUGAUAUAAAUAAAUCACAUAAUCAUAAUGCACAUAAAACAACACACCAUUCCAAUCUUGAUCGAGGCACAUUUCAUUUGUGCGUAUAGGUUGGUUUCGAUUCCUCUUCCCUGUAAAUGACACAGGUAGGGUGCAAUUAGUGAUGGCCUUCAAACAAAAAGAUGUGCCAACUUGUGAAUGCCCUUACCAUGCCUUCUAGGAUGACCAAGUCAGCAUCGCUUGCCAUAUAGGCUAGUUCCGGUGCGACGCUAGACAAAUCUAUUACCUGAGACGAGGUGGGUUGUCUAUUUAAGCAUCUGAGACAAUCAAUAGAAUUUACGAAGCCACCAUAGUGGAUGGCAGAGUCAGGUUCAAGAUAUUCUUACUGGCAGAUCGUUCCCGGAGUUGGCAACAAUGAGGUCAGAUACAUCCACACCAGCAAGCUUUCCAUUUUCGUCCUUGAGCUGAAAACAAUUGAAGAACAUGAGUCACAUUGUUGUAUCAUAAAUGAUAUAUGAUUUUUUUUAGUUACCUUGUUUACAAUCUCAACCAACUCUAGGUAAGUGAUAUCAUUGAUGGAAGGCAUGUCAUUGGCAGCAAGUAUCACCUGCACCAACCAAAGAAAGAUAACUAUUGAUAUUCUUUACUCUUUACUAAAAAAGAAAGAAAAGAAAUCAUAAAUCACAAGACAAUUUAUGCAUCGAUCACAGUGAUUCCAAGUUGGACAUGUACAACAACACAAGCACGCACAUAAGCACGAACACACUUUCAGCUUAAUUGAGAAGUCAUGGAUAGACAUAGACUUCAAUGUGAACCAUUUUUCAUAGAUAAUUUCUUGCAUUCAGUUACUUAAAAGCUGAAUAGGAGCGAUACGUUACUACCGAAAACAAACUCAUGUAGAAAUGACAAGCAAACCCUUGUCCAUGCUUUCCAGUAGUUCCGAAUGAAUAAGAGCAAUAUGAAAAGAUUAAGACAAACCUUAGUGCCACGUCGGAGCAACUCCCUCGCAAAUGGUAAUAUGCCCAAUAUGAUAUCAGCACCAGAAUUAUCAACAAAAAUAACUGCCUACAGCAUAUGAUAGAAGAUUGAUUCAGCUAGGUACAAACUUAAGGUUGGUUGUACAGAAUCAACAUUGUAAACAUAUACACAGCUGAAAGAAAAUGCCACUGAGUAAACAUAGUUUAUAUGCAACUGCCCAGUAAUGAUUUCACCCGUAAUUGAUGCAUGGAUGGUCCAGAACUGUUACUAGGCCAACAGUAACAACCACAGAUACAUAAGUCAAAUCCACCAACAAAGCUACCAGGAGAUACAGAAAGGAAUACACUAAAUAUCACUGAGCGAGUUAUUGAUUUCUAAUAAUGUACAUAGUACAUAUCAAAACAAUUUAUAAAUGGGUUAUUAACAAAUAAGAACCAUGAUUAUUGGAGAUAGACAUGGAACCAGAAUACUAAUGAUAUUAGCACUUUUUUUCUUCCAAAAUAUAAAACCAUAGAACUGCAGAUAUACACUAAAAUGACAUAUAAAACAGUACAUUGCCACAUAUGCAAACUAAAACAGUCUCUUGCCAUAGGAUGGACAGCAGGCUCUGUCUGGCAUUUUGUACAGUUUCAACAAGAAUACAGUAAAACAAUAAAAUUUACCUUUUCCCAAGAUUUCUUUGUCCAUUUGCUUUUAAAUGCAUCUAGGUCAUCAAUAACCCAAGGUCGAGAUAAAAGAUUCUGGCAACUCGCCAAGAAGGACAUACCAUCUUUAGCAAAAACUUCUGCAAGCUUCAAGUUUUGCAAUAAAAAGAAUAUUUUGUCAAUAACAAAGAGAGAUCUCAGAAGGAUUCACAAAGAACUAACGAAAUUUGAUUUCAUCACUUUCAGGACUUCAGGUUGAAUGGUCUUUCAUAUUAAGGCGGUGAUGUUUCAAAGCAACCUAAGGUAAGCCCUUCGAAGCUCCAUGGGAGUAAAAGACCAAUAAAACAUUAAUGCAAUUGGGACUACAUACCUGUGCAGACCCUAAGUCAAAUAUGUUUCCUGCUAAGAUUCCACGGAUCAAGUUCUCUGCUCGUUUCUCACCAUCUUCUAUUUCAUCAUUCCGCUGAACAACUCCCUCAAACAGUGACAUAGCCUUAGCGUUCUCCUCGUCCUACUCGUAAAGAAUCAAAAUAAUCAAAGGAGCAGAAACAGUUACGACCAGAAAUUAUCACAACAAUGAAUAACAAAAUUAUGCCAGGUAGGAAAACCUUGUUACAAUUUACCUUAACCUUCUUGAAGAUGUCAUGAAACCCCAAUUCUCUAAGGAUUAGCUCACGAAGCCUACAAAGAAGCUUGAGAUCCAUUGCAAGAGUUAGAAGUAGUUGAAAAUUUUCUUUCAUGAUCCAAUGAAAAACUCAUCUUACUAUGCAAUCAGGAGGUCCUCCAUGGCUCUCUGGGUUCUUCUUCAACUCCUCAAGCAUAUCAGUGUACCUUCACCACACAACAAUACGUACAUAACAAAAUGUAAGAAUGCAUCUAGAAGGCUUCAUAAUAUGAACAGAGUAACAUUGUGAUAAUAUUUGAGUAACCGUUGAUGCACAUCAUGUCAGCGCUUAACCCCAGAGAAGCAAUCAUGAACGUGUAAUGCACUUUUUUUUAACAAAGCAAUGCAAAUGUUGACUGGUGUAAAUUAAGCCACACAUACAUGUAAUAUGUCGCAAUGAAAGCAUUGAACCUAAGACUAAAGCACCUUAACAUAUAAAAAUAACAACAUGGUUUGGAGUGAUUUGCAGAUCUAAUUUCGCAGCCAAACAUUAUCUGGCAAAUAUCUGCCCAUGACACCCAAUAACAAACAAGAGAUAUCAUCAUCCGAACCAUGAAAGUGAAUCCCACGAAUCAUUUCCGGAAUCGUACAGUUUUUGGUGCUUAGUAGCAUACACGAUACAAUUGUUGUUAAGGCAUCCCGUCUUGGACACUUAGGUGGCAAGGUGCCCUGGCAGCGCCUUGCAAUUGUGCCUGCCUUAGCUGCAUAGGCGUCAGGACAGUGGGUGCUCACCUUAGGUCACCUUACCGCCUUAAGAACAAUGUACAAUACAUCGAAAGGAUGAAAGAGCAUGGUACAGUUAAAGACAUACAUGAUCUCACGCUUCAUUUCAAAUAUUUGGUAUAGUAAUUCUUAGAAUUAACUAGGUCUCAGCAUUACCUCACAUUGCUAGUUACUGAGAUCAUUCUGCGUGGAUAAACUGCGACAGGUUAAUGCUAGAACUGCUAAUAAGUUGCUUGUGGGCAUAAAUCAAGGAAUACUAAGUGCAAACCUAGUCUGUCAAAUUUAUCACUAGUUAGACUGCCAGUUGAUGAACCAAAGCUGAGUGCUUACACCUGCUUGAUAUCAACUUAGCCUUAGCGGCUUAUCCUUCUCACAUCCGUACUCUUUUGACCAAAACAUCCCAAUCAAGUGACUGUCAAAGAUAUAGGCUCUUUGACCCUUUCUUCGUAAAAUGGAAUAUCCCAAAAUACUCUGAGGUGAAAUGGCAUUCGUUUAUGUGCACAAGCAGAACUGUUAGGCAUACGAAUCACCAAGUGGUAAUAUCCAGCUGUUCAACUUUAUGGCUUUCACCUCAAAGAUAAUUGAUCUAAUAAAUAUUACAAACAUAAACUAACUUGGCCAGCUACUUCCACAUGGCACCCAUAUCAUAAUAUCAGCGAAGGCGGCCCUUCCGAGCUUUGAAGCUGUAACGCCCAAGAAAUUUAGUGAGAGAGUUAACUUUUAGACUAAGGUGCUGCGUGUUUGCUUGUUACUGUUCAAAACGCCACACCAAAAUUCUUAAUAUUCACAAUAACAGAAGUUUUUUUGGUGCAAGCUAACAAUUGGGAUUGAAAUAUCUCUAUCAGGAUUAGGACACUUGUCUUGCGAACAGUUAACAGUUCAUGAACACAACAGAAGUUAGUUUUUUUUCAUUUGAUACUUCCUCCCAAUGAUCAGCCCUCGCAAAGCUCCGCCUGCCUAGUUCAAGUGAGUUGUUUCAAUUUUUAUUUUAUUUUUUUGGUUCAGCAAUUGAAAAUGAAGUCUGCCGCUGUCAAGUACAUCAGGUGAAUCUUGUGGUGGCUGACAACAGAACUGGCAGAAACUUUUAACCGUGCCAUCAGUAAUUGGUUUUGCACCUGCUCGAGCAGGUGCCAAACCAAAAUUGCCUGACACACCAAUUACUGUCUGCAAGUACCAAAGGAAUUUAGCUAUUGUGUAGUAUGUGUCCAUUCCAAAUUAAUCAUGGCCUUUUUUCAGGAGCAGAUAUUUGAUAGCCCAUACUACAUCUGCAAAGAAAUCGACCUCUUGCCAAUAGUUGCUAAUAUCUGAUGAAUCUGACACUAACUUGUCUUUACCACCACCACCACUUGAGUCAUAACGAAGCAACAUGAUCGAUCAAUCAGACACUGGUCACUGAUACAUACGUACCUCUGAGCAAACUUCUCGGCCUUGGCGGGGGCAUCCGGCACCGUGGGGUCAUUCUCCGCCCGCUGCCUGGAAAAGGGUCAGAAGACGAACUGAAGUGAGAAUCAGUGGAGCGCUACGGAGUUCAAAUUCCGGGCCGGGACUGUACCUGAAGGAUGGCACGGACUUCAGGAAGAGGUCGAUCCACUGGAUCUCGACGGGGGUGGCCUUGCGGGGGUUGUCGGAGGGGAAGCGGUAGGGUAUGGUGCAGGCACGGUACGUGCUCUCCACUGGCGCCUGCAGCAGCGGGAACGGCACCGAAGGCGACGAGCUCUCCAUGCCCCUCCGCCGCCGCUGCUGCGGUGCGUACGGUGGUUGGGGGUUUGUGCGGAUCCUCGGAGGCGGUUAGCUCGGCCUCGCCGUGAGAUCUGGUUGCGCCGUACGCACCGCACCGGCCGGGAAGAUGAAGGAAGCGAAGUGCCGCUUGGCAAUUGCAGAGAGUCGCUGCAGAUGCUAUCUUUUUUUUCGCACAUUCGCUACAGAUGCUCUUGCCUCCUGAUGUAGAUAGGCCCGCAAUGUGCCGUAGUUUGGGCUCGGUACGCUUCAUAUGAGCCAGCCCAACUUCUGCUAGCGGGCUGAGGGACAGGGGGUCUCAUCGCAAAGAGAGUUAGAGGAAGUUGUUCAACUCAAAAAAAGUUGGAUUCUCAACAACAAAAAAAGUUAGAGGAAGUUGUCUUUCUUUUUGCUUUUCUUUUUUGCGGGGGUAGAGGAAGUUGUCUUUCGAAGCAAGUAGUGAAGGACAUCCAUGCUGGAACACAAGGAGCGUAUGGGAAUAUCAGUAGUGAGAUCAAGCAUGGAGCUUUAAAUUUUAAUUGUAAUUUUAUUUUUGAAGGUAGAGCAUUGAAUGGUGAUGCCGAUAGAUUAGCCAAAUUGUCUCAUUCUCUUGAUCAGGGAUGACACAUCUGGUUGAUCCAACCCUACGAUCCUAUUUGUAUUCCAUCGCGCGUGAAGUAUGAUCAAUAAAACUUGAUGACACCCUAAAAAAGGUUAGAGGAAGUUGUCUGGGAGCAACUUUUGUUUUUCCCCUAAAUUUAUUUUUAUUUAUUAAUUAAAAAAUAUAAUUGCCCAAGACCCGCCCAUUAGUGGCACAUGUGACAGCGGGUGAUGCGGUGCCUGCCGGCGAGGGGUAGGGCGAAACGGUGUGUGGGGUGUCGGCGUGAGCGGCGGGCGGCGAUACGGCCGCAAGGCGGUUUGGUAGCAGGCAGCGUGGGCGUUCCGGCGUGGCGGUACAGGUGUAUUGCGGCGUUCCGGCGAGGUUCCAGCGGAGCAAGCGAUGAAGUUUCGGGCAGUUAUUAGCCCGCCAAAAGGAUACGAAAAGAUUAUCUUUCCGUAAACUUGCGGGAAGAAUGCCACUUUUACAGAAUCUCUAAAGUUAUGGACACUUUUAAGGAAACUGUUGGAGAGGUUUUCUGCCCCCAACUUUUCGUAAACAGUGGUUAGUUUAGAUAUAGGGGAGCUGUUGGUGUUGCUCUAAGACACUUUUAAGGGAACUGUUGAGGCGUAUUUCUUCUGGGUUUUUCUUGCACGGGUUUUGUCGGCUUCCCUCAUUUUUGUUUCCAUUUUUAUUUAUAUUUUUAGUUGUAUUUUUAUUUAUUUAUUUAUAUUUUCCCCUUUUUAUCAAAUUUGUGACCUUUUUUCAUAAAAGACCUUUUUUCAAAUUUGUGAACUAUUUUUCAAAUUUCAUGAACCUUUUUCACAUUUUGAGUUUUUUUCAUUAUUUGUGAACCUUUUCCUUUUUUGAAAAGUCAACAGUCAACUCUCAGUGGUCAAUGAUCUAGGUCACUGGUUGGCCAGCCAACAAUCAACGGUCAUAGGUCAUCAGAACAGGUUUAAAACAAGCGCAGCUGGGCCGGAUCCAUAUACUCUCGUGCGUGAUUGUAAGUCUUAUUAGCUGGCGCCUGAGAUUUCUCAAAAACAAAAAAAAAUAACAAAAACUGGCGCCUAAGGAGCCAAUUAGGAGCGAUCCCUAUUCGUCACUUAUUGGGAGCAACUAGUUCAUGGGUACCACCCUCAGCUUCCCAGUGAAUGCGCACGCACGGGCGCUUCACCCAUGUCGCACACUGGAGGCACUCAGCAUGUGCUUUCGACAUUUUGGGCAUUUUUAUUUCUAUUCAGAUUUUGGGUUUUCCAAUUUUACCAGGUUUUUUUCUAUGUUCUAUGUUUUUUUCUUUUUAUUUAUUCUUUGGUUUCUUUGUUUCUUGGCUGUGCUUUUCACGUGAAGCAUAAAAGGCACAAUUGUGCUCAUGGUGAAAACCCGUUGUGUUUUCGUGUGAAGUAUAAUUGUUCUUUUUGUGUCAAGCACAAACUAUGCUUAUGUGUUUCCCAACAAAAUUGAAUAGCAUAGUUCUGUGAUGACCCAUAAGUAUAAGGGAUCUAUUGUAGUCCUUUUGAUAAGUAAGAGUGUCGAACCCAACGAGGAGCAGAAGGAAAUGAUAAGCGGUUUUCAGCAAGGUAUUCUCUGCAAGUACUGAAAUAAGUGGUAGCAGAUAGUUUUAUGAUAAGAUAAUUUGUAAUGAGCAACAAGUAACAAAAUUAAAUAAAGUACAGCAAGGUGGCCCAAUCCUUUUUGUAGCAAAGGACAAGCCUAGACAAACUCUUAUAUAGAAGAAAACGCUCCCGAGGACACAUUGAAAUUAUCGUCAAGCUAGUUUUCAUCACGUUCAUAUGAUUCGCGUUCGGUAUUUUGAUAAUAUGAUAUGUGGGUGGAUCGACGCUUGGGUGCUGUCCUUACUUGAACAAGCAUCCCACUUAUCAUUAACCCCCAUUGCAAGCAUCCGCAAAUACAAUAAAAGUAUUAAGGUAAACCUAACCAUAACAUGAAACAUAUGGAUCCAAAUCAGCCCCUUACGAAGCAACGCAUAAACUAGGGUUUAAGCUUCUGUCACUCUAACAACCCAUCAUCUACUUAUUACUUUCCAAUGCCUUCCUCUAGACCCAAGUAAUGGUGAAGUGUCAUGUAGUCGACGUUCACAUAACACCACUAGAGGAGAGACAACAUACAUCUCAUCAAAAUAUCGAACGAAUACCAAAUUCACAUGACUACUAAUAGCAUGACUUCUCCCAUGUCCUCAAGAACAAACGUAACGACUCAUAAAGCAUAUUCAUGUUCAUAAUCAGAGGGGUAUUAAUAUGCAUAUAUGAUCUGACCAUAUGAUCUUCCACCAAAUAAACCGGCUAGUAUCAACUACAAGGAGUAAUCAACACUACUAGCAACCUACAGGUACCAAUCCCAGACUUAGAGACAAGAAUUGGAUACAAGAGAUGAACUAGAGUUUGAGAGGAGAUGGUGCUGGUGAAGAUGUUGAUGGAGAUUGGUCCCCUCCCGAUGAGAGGAGCGUUGGUGAUGACGAUGGUGAUGAUUUUCCCCUUCCGGAGGGAAGUUUCCCCGGCAGAACAGCUCUGCCGGAGCCCUAGAUUGGUUCCGCCAAGGUUCCGCCUCAUGGCGGCGGAGUCUCGUCCCGAAAGCUUGCUUAUGAUUUUUUUCCAACGAAAGACUCUAUAUAGCAGAAGAUGGGCAUCGAAGGGCCACCAGGGGGCCCACGAAGCAGGGGGCGCGCCCAGGGGGUAGGGCGCGCCCCCACCCUCGUGGCUAGGGUGUGGGCCCCCUCUGGAACUUCUUGCGCUCAGUAUUUUUUAUAUAUUUUGAAAAUAGCUUCCGUGAAGUUUCAGGACUUUUGAAGUUGUGCGGAAUAGGUCUCUAAUAUUUGCUCCUUUUCCAGCCCAGAAUCCCAGCUGUCGGCAUUCUUCCUCUUUAUGUAAACCUUGUAAAAUAAUAAAGAAUAUGCAUAAGUAUUAUGACAUAAUGUGUAAUAACAACCCAUAAUGCAAUAAAUAUUGAUAUAAAAGCAUGAUGCAAAAUGAAUGUAUCAUUGUGUUUUCUCGAAAGGUGAAGCACAGUUGUGCUUCGGGUGAAGCAUAAUUUUACUUCCCCCUAAGAAUGAAAAACACAAUUGUGCUUCCAUGUAAGCCAUAAUUGUGCUUUCCUAAAAAGUUGAAGCACAAUUAUGCUUCCUUUUUUUUAUUUUAGUUUUCAUUUGUUUGUGUGUGUGUGGGGGGGGGAUCAAUUUCAUGUUUUUUUAAAGAAAGUCCAUCCAAAUCUAUUAACAUGAGAUCUGGUUUUGAAUAUCUCGAUGCGAGAAAUGCAACAGUAAAAAUAAUUCGUUAUUUGGAUGGACGAUUCAAGAGAUAAAACGUUUUGCAAAAGAAGAAUUUGCGAAUAAAUACAAUACUCCUGGAUCGCGAGAAGUGUUGCACAAGCAGUGUGCCACGUGUCACCAUCAGAGGAAGUGGGUGUGACCUUUAUAAGGGGCACCCCCUUGACUAGUUAUUUCGCGCUUACCGUGACAAGUUGUUGCCACUUCACACAAAUGAGCACGCUAGUGGUUGCUUUGGGCCGUCCAACUUAAUGCUUUGGAGAUUGGAUGGUUCUUCUGUUUUUUAAGAAUGUUCUCGAAGGUUCUAGCCCGGGUUCUUGUCGGUUUUGUUCACCUUCUAUAAGGUUCUUCAACAUGUUUUCAUUUUUCAAUUUUUUUUCAUUGUUUUUUUCGGCUUUCUUCUCUGUUUUUCAAAAGAUAUGGUUUACUAAUUCUUGUCCUUUUUCAAAAACUCACAAAUUUCGAAAAUGUUGAAUAUCUUGUAUAAGUUGCUCAUAUUUUCAAAAAUUAUUCAUAUUUUUCAAAAUAGGAUAUUCAAAAAUUGUAUACAACUUUUGAAUGUUCAAAAAGUUUAAAAUUAUUCAGAGUUUAUAAAAAUGAUCUAAUUUAAAUUUUGUUCAUGAUUUGCAAAAAGUAUUGGGAAAUUCAAAAAUUUAAAGUAUUUUCAGAAAAACCUACAAAAUCUCUAAAUUGUUUGCAAGUUAAAAAACAAAAAAAAAUCUCAGUUUUAAAAAAUUGUUCGGAUUAUGAAACAUGUUCCACAUUGUCGGUUCACCACAUGUGGUUUGUUGCAGUAACUCGUCAUAUUGAUGAAGUACCUACUCCUCCUAUUCUCUGCAUUGCGGUGCUAAUGGGUCGACGCAGUCGGGCACAAGGAGUGACUAGCUGCUCCACCAAGCGGCAUAGGAGGUCCUUAUCUCUCGCUUUCGGCGAGGCAGAGUGCGUCCGUGCCUACAGGUGCGCCUUGUUGGCCUAGCCCAUUAAUCGUUUGGUUACUUUUCUUUCUGAUUGCUUGAGUAGCAGUUAAGCUUCACAAUACCGCCAUCUACAUGUUGUUGGCCUUAUUGAACAGCUCUUGUUUAUUACUUUUAUUUAUAUUUCUGAAAUUGAAAUACAUUUUGCUUAAUUUUUUAAAAAAUUGUUCAUCGUACAUUGAAAAAAAUCAUGCAGUAAAACAAUGUUCGUUCAAGUUAUAAAAAAUGUCCAUAAUAUUUCAAAAAAAAAUUGGUGACAUUUCAAAAAAAAUCAUGGGUUCAUAAAAACCGUGACGAUUUUAGAAAACAAUUAUACAAUGUAAUAAAAAGUUAAUGUGAUUCAAAAAAAUGUUUCAUGCCAUUCAAAAUGUACAUGACAUUUUAAAGAAAUGUUAAAGCAUUUCAACAAUAUGUCCUUGACAUUUUUUAAAUGUUAAUACAGUGCAAAAAAAUGUUCACAUGAUCUAGAGAACUCCAUUCAAAAAGGUUUAUUCGAUUAAAAAAAAUGUUUGCGUGGUUUAAAUUUUUUUGUAAUAUUAAAAAAUGUUCACUAAAUAUAAAAAAUUGUUUUGUAAUAUUAAAAAAAUGUGCUCUUUUUUUCGCACAUUUUCUACAGAUGCUCUUGCCUGCUGAUGUAGAUUGGGCCGCAAUGUGCCGUAGUUUGGGCUCUGUACGCUUCAUAUGAGCCAGCCCAACUUCUGCUGGCAGGCUGAGGGGACAUCAGACAUGGGGUCUCAUCGCACGAAGGGAUGAGAGUUAGAGGAAGUUGUUCAACUCAAAAAAAAAAGUUGGAGGAAGUUGUCUUUCGAAGCAAGUAGUGAAGGACAUCCAUGCUGGAACACAAGGGGCGUAUGGAAAUAUCUGUAGUGAGAUCAAGCAUAGAGCUUUACAUUUUAAUUGUAAUUUUAUUUUUGAAGGCAGAGCCUCUAAUGGUGAUGCCGAUAGAUUAGCCAAGUUUUCUCAUUCUCUUGAUCAGGGACAACAUAUCUGCUGAUCCAACCCUAUGAUCCUAUUUGUAUCCCACUGCAUGUGGAUUAUGAUCAAUAAAAUUUGAUGAUACCCUAAUAAAAAAGUUAGAGAAAGUUGUCUGGGAGCAACUUUUUUCCCCCUAAUUUAUUUUUAUUUUUUAAUUAAAAAAGAUAAUUGCCCAAGACCCGUCUAUUACUGGCACAUGUGACAGCGGGCGAGGCGGUGUGCGGGCCGUCGGCAUGAGCGGCGGGCGGCGGCACGGCCGCAAGGUGGUUUGGCAGCAAGCGGCGUGGGCGUUCCAGCAUGGCAGUACGGCGGCAUUCCACGCGGCAAACGAUGAAGUUUAAGGCAGUUACUGGCCCGCCAGAAAGAGACGAAAAGAUUAUCUUUUCAUAAACUUGCCGGAAGAAAAUAUCAUUUUUACGGGAUCCUCUAAAGUUAUGAACACUUUACGGAAACUGUUGGAGAGGUUCUCUGCCCCAACUUCUGGUAAAAAAUGGUUAGUUUAGAGAUAGAGGAGCUAUUGGUGUUGCUCUAAGACUAUUUCUGCUCAAUUCCUAUUUGGUACCUUAAGCGUGGGUUAGAGUGCAUUUUGCAAACCGGCGCACCCACCCCCCUCCCCCAAUCGGCCCAUGUACACCCUCAUUUUGGGGGCGUUUUUCUUCUAGUUUUUCCCCAGCACUGGUUUUGCUGGUUUUCCUCAUUUUUGUUUUCAUUUUCAUGCUUAUUUUUAGUUGUCUUUUUAUUUAUUUAUUUAUAUUUUCCCCAUUUAUAAAAUUUGUGAACCUUUUUCAAAUUAAGGACUUUUUUCAAUUUGUGAACUUUUUUCCAAAUUUCAUGAACCUUUUUCACAUUUCGAGCUUUUUCAUUAUUUGUUAACUUUUUCCUUUUUUGAAAAGUCAACGGUCAACUCUCAAUGGUCAACGUUCAAGGUUACUGGUCGGCCGGUCAACAAUCAGCGGUCACAUGUCAUCAGUUAACAGAUUUAAAGCAAAGCACAACUGGGUCGACCCAUAUACUCCCAUACGUGACUGUUAGGUAUCUCUACUCGAGAAGUUGGUAAUCUCGCUUCAAGGUUUAUUUUCGUCCGCUUUAUUUUCAUCUAGCCUUCCACCAUCCCGUUGGUUUGGUUUUUUGUCUCACCUCGCACUGUCCGCCAAACCAGCCGCCCGCCGCCGCUAUCUUCCUCCUCUCCCGAUUCCUCCAAAGCAGCCGCCGGCCUCCAACCCCACCGCCCACCUCGUCUCCCCCAAUCCCGGCCUCCGCCCUCUACUCCUCUGCCGGCGCCCCCUUCCCUCCCCUCCCAUUCUCUCCCCGUACGAGCUUCGGCCGCAGCAAGAUCUGCCACGGUCGCACCGCUGCUUCCGCAUCUGUGCCAUCCUCCCGCAUCCUCACCAUCUCCCGCCCUCACGUCCAAUCCGGAUGCCACACCCCUCGCCACUACGUGAAUCCCCUCUCGCUACUGCGUGAAUCCCCUCCGCCAGAUCUUGUGGUCCUCGCCAUCACGCGGGGGGUUUGGGUCGCCAUGAGGAGACGCGGGAGAAGUUCUGUAGGAGCAUCGUCACCAAAGGCACCUGCAAUGUCUCAGGGAGAACAAGAACGUCGCCGACAGUUUUGAUCGAUUGUACGAUUCCUAUAUCAGCACCUAGCCCACCCAUCUAAUCUGCACCUACAUGUGAGUUCUUUUCGUUUGUAUGUGCUUAUGUUGGUGAAUUUCUGAUUUGAUACUAAUGUAAUACCAACCUCUCUCUUGUUCUAACUUGGUGAUUGGUCCCAUAAUUACCAGGCAAGCCGUGUAUUCGCUUUAACAAGGAGGGUACUCUGUUGGCUGUCUCUACUGUUGAUACUUGAUAAUGGUACCAAAGUUUUAGCAAAUGCCGAUGGUCUUCGGUUAUUGCGCACACUGGAAGAUCGUUCUAUCGAUGCUUCUCGUAGUGCAUCUGACACUGUAACAAAGGUAGUUACUUUUCCCAAGAAACAAAUUGAGAUUGUUUUCCCCACAUGCAUGGAUCAAUCGUUUCUUGUUGGUGCAGCCUCUAAUAAAUCCACUGACUGCUGGUGCCGUGGAAGCCGCCGCCGCCGGUGCAACCAGUUCUGAACUGCUGCUCCAUCAGCUAUAACUGCAAUGGUUUGUUUUGAUCCAGAUUCAUUUGGUCUGUUCUAUUAUAAACAAUUUACAUUGCGAUCCCAACUAACUUGAUCGUACUCUGUACUUUUUUUGAUGGAAUGGGGACAACAGAAACUUGGUUGAUGUAAAACCUGGAAUAGCUGAUGAGUCAAUGCAUAAGUCAAAGGUCUGGAAGCUUGUGGAGAUAACUGAUACAGCUCAGUGCAGAUCAUUAAAACUGGGUGAUAGUAUUAACACAGCUAAGGUGAUACUUCUUCCCUUGCCUUUUACCUCUCUAUAUUUUUGAAUAUGCAUCAUUUUCUAGCAAUCUUGUGGGUGCACUGCCAGUUAUAAGAUUGCUAUUUUCUUAAAUUAAUUCACAGUGUGAUUUCUACAUGUAGAACACUGUUUUAGCUCUCGUUAGAUGCUUGACGUUUGACAAGUGUCUUACGGACAUGAACAAUCAUUAUGACUGCUAAGUGAAGCUAUAUCUUCGGGAUCCAAUUCCAACCACGUCGACCAGAGCGGCUCCGCUAUCGUCGCAGGCCGUCCAGUGCAAGAGACCACCGGACGGGCAAGCGCUUCGCGACACAGGUCAAGAAGCCACCACCUAAGACAACGAUUGAAAAGGCGGCACCACCGUCGCCUCCCUUCAAACUCGCAGCCACCGCGCUGGCGGCGAGCUCGCACGCGCGCGUCGUCGACCAGCACCACCGCCGCAGAUUACUCCCUACCGCCGCGCCACCUCGUCAUCAUCGUCGGUGGAGGACGACCCUGAAUACGGUUACCUGCGGAUGGUGCUAGAGCGUGGCGGGUUAAUGUGCGCAAUGCCGCCGCCGAACUGGCCGUUCAAGGGCCACUCCAUGUCAUCCCCGGUGGACCUGAUCGUGUUCCACCUCCCCGCGGACGACUCCGACGACCGGCGCCAAGGCCCGCUCUGGCACCGGUGGAACCGGAAGCUCCUCUUCCACCUCACGCAAGAAAUCCUCGCCGUCCUCCUCCACCUCGACGACAACGGCGCCUCCUCCGCAACCAGACUCCACGGACCGGCGCUGCUGUCGAAGGUGUGGAGCACGGUGAAGGCAUUCCCGGCGGCGGACUGUAGGGUUGUGGGCGACAUCGACGCGCUGGUGGUACUGGACCUACAUGUCACCCAAUUUUGUUGUCUUUGGGGAAUAGAUGAUGACACAUGGACACCAUUCGGUGGCAGUUUGAUGUUUUUCAGGAAUGAAUUCCACCCGUUAUUCAAUACUACUAUGAGAAAAGUAGGGAAAUGCUCACCCUCUGCUAAAUGUACUGGUUCGUCUCGCGGUCUCACCCCCAAAAACAGAGGAGAGGAGAAGGGAGCUCCUCUCUCACACUCGUCGGCUCCAAGGAGCCCCGCCGCCAUGCAUGGUGGAGAGGAGCAGGGAGCUCCGCCGCCACGUAAGGUUAUAUCCAUUGUUGCAUCUUGUAAUUAUUAAUUUGGAAUAAAUCAUGCAAUUGGAAUUUAUAUAUGUUUUACUAUCUUUUUUGUAGGCAAACCAAGUCUGCAACGUUUGAAUAUUAUACUCAGUCAGUUGCUCGACUACUUACAGUCCUAUUACUUGAGACUUAUACUUGGUUAGCUGUCGUGUACAUUAUUCUGACAUAAAUGACACCAUGUCUAUGUGCAAGUCAGAAGGACCUGACCAUCUAAAAAGAUGUCAAAUUAGUGUGGUACAUGCUUCAGUACUGCAAGUUGGAGUAGCAAGUAAGUAUACACAUCAAAUGAAAGUACUGCUUUAGUACAACAUGCUUCAGUACUGACCAUCUAAAAAGAUGUCUAAUUAGUGUGCACGAAUCAUGUUAAAACCUGUAGUGCCUACUUGCGCAUUGAUACUCAUACCUGACGGUGAUAAAAGUUGCAUUUUGAGAUUCAAUUCUUUGAUUUAUGAUGCUCUGCCAUAUGCACAAUGAGAACAUAUAUCCUUCUUACUGAUCUCUGUUUUUCUAAGUUGAAACUAUUUCUUUGUUACUUGGUGUAUGUGAAGUGCCAUCAUAGUCCUGUCACAAACUUGUUUGAGGAAGGCAAAAGACUGGCCUUUUGCAGGACAGAGAAAAGACCGGCUUAUUUUAGUUCAACACAACAUAGCAAGCUCAAUAUAUAUUAGUUAGCACAUGGCAGGAUGCAGACUAGCCAUGUUCAUUUGUCAACAUUUAUACUUUCCAUUGUGUAGUUGAAGCACGCAUAGGAGCGUCCCAGUUAUGAUGUAUAGUUCACAAUGUUGAUUUGGUAAGUAGUUAGAAAACAUAUGUGAUGUAUAUGUAAAAAGUUGUGCCUCAUUCAAUUCAGAUAAUUGAUUUUCUGACUUUGCAUAUCGAUAAUUGAAAACGAUGCAUGACACACGUGUUAGUGAAAUAGAACAGUAUUAGUGUAGUCCGUGGCUUUGAAAUAUUCGAAAUAGUGGUGUCACAUAACUUCUUAUAAUCAUGGCGUAUAUUCUAGGAUCAUAAAAUUCUCUGAAAUAGUUUAUAUAUUUUUUCUUUCUCUUUUUGUUGUGAAUAUAAAAUUUCAGGCUUUCUCUUAUUGAAACACACAGAGUUCUUGAUAAAUGAGAAAGAGUCAGUUAUGUCAACACCAUGAGCACCCUUGAAUAAAAGUUUAUGUCGGUGUACUAGAGUAGGGGUACCCUAGUAUCCCGAACUCGUGCACGGGCAGUUGCAGCGCCCCGCGGCAAGGCUUGUCGGGUGACCGCCAAGACCCUCCAUGGUUCCCUUGAAGACCAUUCAAGAACAAAGUACUCAAACCAAGGCCCCGGCAAGAGGAGCUUGCCGGGAAGGCCAACCCAGGCCCCGGCAAGAGGAUCUUGCCGGGAAGAGACAAGACCCCGGCAAGAGGAGCUUGCCGGGAAGGCCACUCAAGGCAUACCAAGAAAGCUUGCCGCGACGCGCCCUGCGUCCCGGCAAGAUCCGGCGAGCGACAAGCUUCCAGACGCGACAAGACGACGACCCCGGCAAGGUACUUGCCGGAGGCCAGUUGCCACUAUGUACCCACGCUCCAGCGCACCCACCCGCGUGUCGCCAUGAGGCUUCCUCAGGGGGCGCGUGGCGGGAGCCUGUGCAGCUAGGGGUACGUGGUGGCAAGCGGAGAUGAAGAGAAGGCCAUCGUGGCGAACGGUGGCGCUCCUAACGGUCACUUUUUGCACUGUUUAGGCAAUUCAGACAGGCAUUCAAUGCUCUUGUCCCCUGCCGUCAGAGUUAGGUAGGGUGCACUGUGUCUACAGUAGCGGUAGCUGCACCUACCGCAUCCUUUUCCAUUUUUACCCCUCUUGUCUACGUUGCCACCUGUCGGUGACCCCUUGAGAGUAUAAAAGGAGGCCCAAGCGCAACGUAGAAGAGGUUCGGCCGGUUCGGCUCAUUCGAAACACCAGGGACACUCCCACGCUCAGUCUGAUAGCGUCGAUCGCUCCUGAGCAAGGAUUCAAUACACACAAACAAGCAGCAGUAGGGUUUUACGCAUCCGUGCGGCCCGAAGCUGGGUAAAACUGCUCGCGUGUACUGCCUCGAUCCGCUCUUUGUUCAACCUCCGCCCUCACCGAAUAGAAAGGGGCUCGGUCCGCCGAUCCCCAUAGGUGUUCGUGGAUCAGUUUUCCCGACAUCUUUGGCGCGCCAAGUAGGGGGAGCUUCGGCGGCAGCUGUUCCGUCCACGUCAAGGCUCAGCUGUUCUUCAUCGUCAUGGCUCCUAAGAAGCGGGCGAGCAAAAGAACGACGCCAGUGCGGCAACAGAAAAGCUAAGUCGUGCGAAACUUUAGAUAUUUCCUUUCUAUAUAAGGUUAUCCGCCUCGGAGAUUUUGUUCUUUGUAUGGAAAACCUGUGCGCGGAGGAAUCAACUCGUAGCUAGUUGCGCCCUUACUCUGUUUCGAGUCCGCUCAAUAACUUAAGUGAGCUGCUAGCGCCCUUACUUUGCUUCGAGUCCGCUCAGCAACUUAAGUGAGCCGCUAGCGCCCUUACUUUGUUUCGAGUCCGCUCAACAACUUAAGUGAGCUGCAACUAGUUGCGACAAGGUUGCUUGUCGGUAGCGACCCCGCCAGCAGGCUGCUGAAGUUCCGCACUCGGCGCUCGCGGCAAGGGUGCCUGCACCGGCAAGUUUCCCUAGAAAGCGUAGGGUGGACGUACAAAGAGAAGUUGAACAGGAAGAUAGCAUGCACUAUUUAUUUGAGAUUUCUGCAUAGACCUGUAUGCCAAGGAGCCUUCUCGGGGCUAGUUGCGCUCCAUGUUGCCUCGAGUCCGCUCGGCAACUUGUGCGGUUGCGCUAGAACCAAGAAGGUAAACCUUUCCGGGAGGCGAUGCUCCCGAAUAGCCGCUAAGGGCCCGUUCCCUCAAGCGCUGCUGGCUGGAUCGUACGCACCGGAAAGCAUUCCAGCAGGCAUAGGGAAUAUGCAGCAAAAGUCAAAAUUCGCAAGCGAGUUAAGUGCACUUUAGAUGCUAAUCACUUGUCAUGUUUAAAUGCAGUUAUGGCCCGAGGGCUGGCAACGCCCCUAGGACCAAUCUUUUUGGUGUCAAGAACAACGAAGUUCUUCGCCAUAAGCCUUUCCGGCAACGAUCUUGCCGGGAGCCGGUGUCAAGAACGACGAAGUUCUUCGCCAUAAGCCUUUCCGGCAACGAUCUUGCCGGGAGCCGGUGUCAAGAACAACGAAGUUCUUCGCCAUAAGCCUUCUCGGCAACAAGCUUGCCGGAAGCCGGCAUCGAGAACGUCAAAGUUCUCUGCUGGAGAUAAAAGCCUUCUCGGCAACAAGCUUGCCGGAAGCCGGCAUCGAGAACGUCAAAGUUUUCUGCUGAAGAUAAAAGCUUUUCUGGCAACAAGCUUGCCGGAAGCCGGCAUCGAGAACGUCAAAGUUCUCUGCUGGAGAUAAAAGCCUUCUCAGCAACAAGCUUGCCGGAAGCCGGCAUCGAGAACGUCAAAGUUCUCUGCUGAAGAUAAAAGCCUUCCUGACAAUAAGCUUGCCGGAAGUCGGCAUCGAGAACGUCAAAGUUCUUUGCUGAAGAUAAAAGCCUUCCUGGCAACAAGCUUGCCGGAAGCUGGCAUCGAGAACGUCAAAGUUCUCUGCUGGAGAUAAAAGCCUUCCCGGCAAGCCAGUAUCACUGGGGGCUGCGCUGGGGAUGCUCUGCGAAGUGAUGGCCGAAUCUGGCAAGGUGGUCUCGGGCGCGCCUCCUGUCGUCGUAGUGGGCUCGUCCUCGAUGACCACCACCUGAGCCUUGGCCCUCUUCGCCGCCCUCUGGGCCAGAGUCCUGAAAAGGGAGAGUCCAGGGUGGGUCAGAUCAGAUGCAAGACAACAUCAGCAAGUUGAAGAACUACAAGAACAACAAGGGAAUCUUACUCUUCUUCCUCUUCCUCGUCGGAGCUGAGCGCGGAAAGGUCGAAGUUCGGCCCACCUCCGGCACGACGAGGUGGAGGGGUGGGAUCCCUUGGCCGCUUGGCGGGGGCUGCGGCGCCAGCCCGAGACGUCCCCGCUUCAGUUGUCGCUGCGGCAGGAGGCGCUCCCGCGGCUACCGUACUUGCCGCGGUAGAGUGCGUCGCGCGACGCUGCGGCUGUUGGCCCACUUGCCACCCUGCUACGUCGCCAACCCUGCGGAGGCGCCUUCUUGGCUGCGCUGCGGGCCCUGCUCGCGGCAAGCUCCUCGGAGAUGGCGGGCCGCUCGCACCCUCGGCGGGCUCGUUCGACUCGGCGUCGGGCGCGGCGAGCUCUUCUUCCUCUUCGGGCUGCUCCCGUUCGGCAAGACUCAUCGCCAACGUCGCGUCCGCUUCCUCCACGGUGAACCCGAAUUCACCCGCGGCCGCGGCUGCCGCUGCCUCUUCCGCCCUGGUGGCGAUGCGCUCCAUCUCUUGAUCAGUGAUGUCGCGGGUGAGGAGCUUCUUCUCGUCAGCAUUGACCGCCACCUCCACUAGGCUGUCGAAGAACUGCUGCACGACGUCGCCGGCGGGCUCUUGCCAAGUUGGAGCGAUCCCGUGCGAGUCACACAACGGCAUCAUGGCGCAGAUGCGGUCGCGCGAGGAGUUGUUGCACAGAGGAACGACGCCUGCCGGCAACCUGAACCACUCGGGAUGCUGUGGGUCAUGCUUGAAUAUCUCCUUAAGUAUCCUGUCCAACUCUAUGACGGUGAAAUUGAAGUUGAGGCCUGGGCGCAACCUCAUGAUAUCUGCCGGGCCUCCAAAUUCCCAGGCGGGUCUCCCCCUCGCCUGCAGAGGGGCGAUCCGCCGACGAAGGAAAUCUGCGCCAACAGCUCCUACGGUCAGCCCGGCAAGCCUAAGGCGCAAGAUCCGGGUGGUGGCGAUCUUCAACUUGUCAUCGUCCGCGGACAGAGCGCUCCAAUCAUUGCCUCGCACUGCUGGGGCUUGGCGCAGGGCGGUGAACGGCUGCGGGUUCUCCUCUACAACCCAGCACCAGUUUGCUCUCCACUCAUCCCACUUGCUGCGGAGCUCCCCCUCCAGAUAGGUCUCUUUCUUGCCGGCUCGCGAGAUCCAGGCGAUCCCCCCGGCAAGGGUUUCCCCUCUCUCGACACGGGGCAUGAAGAAAUGGCGGAAGAGAGCUACGUUGGGGUGGACUCCGACAAAGUUUUCGCAUAGAUGGGCGAAAACUGCCACGGUCAAGACGGCGUUGGAGGUAAAAUCAAGGAGGUGGAGCCCGUAGGUGUUCAUGAUAUCACAAAAGAAAUCAGAGAAUGGCGGACAGAGCCCGCAGUAGAAGAACACGGCAAAGAAAGGUACCCGCCAACUGGAGCUUCUUGCGAGGUGAUGGCAGAGAGUACCUUUGUGCGCGGAUGCGCCCGUGUCUCCGUCGACCAGAAGAGAUAGUACCACUUCCUCAGAUCCUUUGCGGAGAGCUCGGGGAGGAAAGUGGCCCGCUCUUUCCGCAGCGCCUCAAGCCGCUGCGCUUCGGUCGACUUCACAGCUUUCGCGGCCUUCCCCUUUCCGGGCUUCGGAGCCAUGGCGGAGGCGGUGGGGGAGAUCGACGGCGCUGGUGGUGGCGGCGGCGACGGGAGCGGAGCGCUGCUCUCUUUCGACUUUGAAAAUUAAGAAGGGCGGCGGAGGUUUCUGAGAUUGCAGCAGCAAAUGGCGAAGAUAGGGGAAAUACCCCUGUUUCCCCUGCUUAUAAGGAGGAGGGGGCGGACGUUGCGUUCUUUCCGAAUAAAGAACCACCCACGAUCUCCCCCACGACGCCGUGAUUGACGCGUGCCGUUGCGGGGGGUGCGGUGGAUACGGAGCGAGAUUUGGUGUGGACCCAGGCCGCGCGUGCCCGUGCACUGUUUUGGGCCUGGCCCAACAGCGCUCGGCACCGUGUAUGGCCCAGGCCCGGGGGCUCCCGUCGGUGUACUAGAGUAGGGGUACCCUAGUAUCCCGAACUCGUGCACGGGCAGUUGCAGCGCCCCGCGGCAAGGCUUGCCGGGUGACCGCCAAGACCCUCCGUGGUUCCCUUGAAGACCAUUCAAGAACAAAGUACUCAAAUCAAGGCCCCGGCAAGAGGAGCUUGCCGGGAAGGCCAACCCAGGCCCCGGCAAGAGGAUCUUGCCGGGAAGAGACAAGACCCCGGCAAGAGGAGCUUGCCGGGAAGGCCACUCAAGGCAUACCAAGAAAGCUUGCCGCGACGCGCCCUGCGUCCCGGCAAGAUCCGGCGAGCGACAAGCUUCCAGACGCGACAAGACGACGACCCCGGCAAGGUACUUGCCGAAGGCCAGUUGCCACUCUGUACCCACGCUCCAGCGCACCCACCCGCGUGUCGCCAUGAGGCUUCCUCAGGGGGCGCGUGGCGGGAGCCUGUGCAGCCAGGGGUACGUGGUGGCAAGCGGAGAUGAAGAGAAGGCCAUCGUGGCGAACGGUGGCGCUCCUAACGGUCACUUUUUGCACUGUUUAGGCAACUCAGACAGGCAUUCAAUGCUCUUGUCCCCUGCCGUCAGAGUUAGGUAGGGUGCACUGUGUCUACAGUAGCGGUAGCUGCACCUACCGCAUCCUUUUCCAUUUUUACCCCUCUCGUCUACGUUGCCACCUGUCGGUGACCCCUUAAGAGUAUAAAAGGAGGCCCAAGCGCAACGUAGAAGAGGUUCGGCCGGUUCGGCUCAUUCGAAACACCAGAAACACUCCCACGCUCAGUCUGAUAGCGUCGAUCGCUCCUGAGCAAGGAUUCAAUACACACAAACAAGCAGCAGUAGGGUUUUACGCAUCCGUGCGGCCCGAAGCUGGGUAAAACUGCUCGCGUGUACUGCCUCGAUCCGCUCUUUGUUCAACCUCCGCCCUCACCGAAUCGAAAGGGGCUCGGUCCGCCGAUCCCCAUAGGUGUUCGUGGAUCAGUUUCCCCGACAGUUUACAAUCUGAGGUUCCCCUGGUAAUAAAUUUGAUCAUAAUAUGUAUUCGUAAUUUUUCUCACAUAGAUUUGUUUAGAUAUAAAAUUGACUGUUCCCAACAAUACAUUGAUUUCUUUUUGCAGGGAGAGAUCUUGUAAGAACAUAAGUGCCUUAGAAGAAAAGAAAAAGGUAAGUUCCCAUUGCAUGUAUUAAUUAGCUUACUGAAUUCUUUCCCUCAAGAAGAAAUAGACUUAAUCGCAUAUUUGUUGAUGGAUACCAACACAGGCUGCCAGUGGCCACUGGCCAGGCUGGGAGGAUCAAACGGGUUGUGUGUUCACCGGACUCUAGCUUUUAGUGCGCUGCACAGUUUAGGGAUAAUUAAUUUGGUGAUUUAUGCUUCGUUCUCGAAUGAUUCGAUUUUAUAUGUGGAUUUAUGUAUAAGCAUUAGUUUAUGUUGGAGCACUACCCUUUGCCCCCUUACUCAUGGUUUAUAUUAUCAUGCACUUUUUGGGUGGAUUCGUACAACAAGUCAAAUGAGGCAUCCGACUUAGCAAGCUCAUGCUCUCGUUUUCCUUGAAUUGCAUCUAAGAGCAACUCAAAGUGUUGAUUUACAUCUGUAGUUAUGUUCCCAAUGUUGAGGUUAGUGAUUUUCUUAUAGCGGUGAAUUUAAUCUGGAUGCUAAUGAAAGUCUAGCUAGGACGAAAUCUAUCAUGUUUCUGUCGGGAAAACUUGUGAUCAAUGGGUUUACUAAAAUUGACUUUUGGUCUGUAUUAAUGGGCAUUGGCUAUUGUUGUCAUUGGAAUGCGCUUUCUUGUAGUAGUAGGUCAAGAGAACUUUUAUGCAUAACACAAUGCCUUUCAGUUUAUAGAUUCAUAACUGAUAACUGUAAUAAUAUUAUUGAAGAGUAUUUCCUAUUAGAUAACUAAACUUAACAUCACAUCUCUUUAUUUUUGUUUUUCCUUCUGAGAACCUUAGAACCCUGCUUGGAAGACUAUUUAACCCGUCAUUUUUCUAUUUAUUGUUCAAAAUUGCUUCCGUUAACAUGAUCAUGAACACACAGGUUGUAUAUUUAUUUUAAUCGUGUGUACUUGUGACCUCACUUUUUAUGCCUUCUGCUGGCAUGUUGCUAACAANNNNNNNNNNNNNNNNNNNNNNNNNNNNNNNNNNNNNNNNNNNNNNNNNNNNNNNNNNNNNNNNNNNNNNNNNNNNNNNNNNNNNNNNNNNNNNNNNNNNNNNNNNNNNNNNNNNNNNNNNNNNNNNNNNNNNNNNNNNNNNNNNNNNNNNNNNNNNNNNNNNNNNNNNNNNNNNNNNNNNNNNNNNNNNNNNNNNNNNNNNNNNNNNNNNNNNNNNNNNNNNNNNNNNNNNNNNNNNNNNNNNNNNNNNNNNNNNNNNNNNNNNNNNNNNNNNNNNNNNNNNNNNNNNNNNNNNNNNNNNNNNNNNNNNNNNNNNNNNNNNNNNNNNNNNNNNNNNNNNNNNNNNNNNNNNNNNNNNNNNNNNNNNNNNNNNNNNNNNNNNNNNNNNNNNNNNNNNNNNNNNNNNNNNNNAAAAUGUUUUCCCAAUUUUCCUUCCACCAUUUGGUAAGCCUUUGUGGAAUGGUCUGGGGAGGUUUGCAACAUUGUCUACUCAUCUGAUGGAAAUCUGUUUGUUCUCUAUCAUGUGAUUCGCUUUGGAGCUGAUGCAGAGGUACUCUUCUUUGCCUGGGUGUUGUAUGUGGUUCAGUUUGCUGGUUUGGGUUUACACUGAUCUUGCUUGCUCGGUUUUUGGUGUAUAACCAGUUCGCAGGUUUGAUCAAUGGAUGCAACCCAUGGGGGCAUGGAGAUGAUGGCAAGGCAUCACGCUGCGCUGACAGCGAGGAAAGUAACUUGGAUGAAGGCAGCGGCAACGGGUGGUUGUCAAGGAAAGCGGCGUGGGGAUGGGGAAGGUGGGUGGUGAGGGAUGAUUGGGUGGUGAAUGGCAGCCGAGGAGACGGAGCGGCGGCGAGAUUGGACGAGCUCGCCUUCGGAGUGCGUGUGAGGCAAGAUUUCCUUCCCGGGUUGGCCGAGGGCCUCCUUGUGUAUUUAUUAUUUCCGGUAGAAGCAGUGAACAUGCAGGGUUAAAGCAUUUUCUUUUGCCGAGGGGGAGGGUAGAAAACAGAAAAGAUCAGAGGGGGGGAUUGGGAGGUCUGUGGUGGGAGGGGGUGGAAACCCGAGCAGACUGUCAUGAACUAAAGUUCAUUUGUUUACUGACAUGUUCAUAUUGUUUAUCCUUUUGUUAUUGAAUUUGGAAAUGUGUGUAAGGCUUCCAUAUCUUCAAAUUACGAAUACUGAGAAGUGCAAGCCUUUCUCUUCUAGAAAAUUAGGGAAUUGGCUCAUACACUAUUAAAUAAUUUGAUGCACUCUUUCUUAUUUUAAAUGGUCAGGAGGAACAAGUGAAGGCUUCUAUUUUGGACCAGUUCCUUUAUUGGAUAGUUUGAUAACAAUUUCUUAAUGAUUACUCAAACAUAUGAACGUUCUCCAUUAUUAGAUUAAAUCACUUCUGCAGCAUGCGACUGUAGUAAAUAAAAUUAUUCAGAUUCAAGCUAAAAAAAAUAUUUAGAUUCUACCAUGUAACCAAAUAAUGAUAUAUUUGUCUCUCCCAAGGUAGCUAUCCAGUUCUAGCGCAUGGGUUGAGGACUACAACUUUGCUACUGAACCACCAUGAGGAGGCCACCGUGGAGACGAACUAGGUUGUCGUUUAAGUUAACGCCCAGCUAUGACUAAUGUACACAUAUUUUAGUUAAGCAGGCCUUUGUUUCAGUUUGAUUUUCUCGUAUAUACACAAUAUAUUUUUUCCUUCACGUUUCUUGCAAGCACAUAGAUAUUAUAUUUCUUGCCGGCGAAUAAUAAGAGAGAACAAUAAUGUUAUUGCGCUAUAGGCAUCUUGUAAAUAAGACAUCUCUGAUGACAGGUGAGGCACAUUUCAUUUUAAAAUCAGAGAUACAACACUGUAUCAUAUUUCACGAAAUGAUAAGACUUUUGAAGCUAAAAUAAUGGUAGAGCAAGUGUGUGAAGUGAGGAAGCCAAGGGUUGGAAGGGUUGCCUUGUUUACAAGGAGUUGGUUUGUAAGGAGACAUGAUGAUUGUCACAGAUAAAACCAAAUUAGAUAACGGUAUGUGUCCCUAUGUAAAUGAAACCUUAUGCCAUCAUGAACGACAUACAUUUGGGUCUGUAGUUUUGUUUAUUCCAUGGCAAUGCACAUGCAUUAAACAUUAUAUAGCAUGAUCAAAGACGGAUAACUCAAGGCUUGUAACUUCACUACCAUUUCCAAAUGUAAGUUUGUUGGGAAGUCAAAGUCAUGCGCUAUAUUGAGAGGAGAGGCAUGCGGCAGAGAUGAAGGUUCUCUCAGGGUGGCAUGACAGUCAUGAGAGAAUGUUUGUUUAACUACCGUCAUUUUAUGUCCUUUUUACUCUAUAUAUCAGCACGUAGUUAUCUUACUAGAAUUUAUAUGCCCACAUUAUUAUUUGGUAGAAACAAGUGGGAAUACCACAAUUAAUUGGGAGAAGUUUCACGAAUGAGUGUUUCUCUUCAUGUUUCUUCUAGGCAUAAAAACAUUAUAUUUGUUGAGGUUGAAGAAUAAGGAGAGAUAAACUUGCCAUAAAACAACAUGCAUCUUUCAUUAAUAGCAAAUAAGAAAUUCAAUACGCCAUCAUCCUUUGAGGUAGUGAUAACCGUCUCAUUUUCCAAUCAGAUAUACAGUACACCAUCAUCUUUCGAAGUAUGUGAGGACCUUUUCAUAGAUUUGCUAAAGUUUAGAAAAAAUGCCAAGCAAUGGUAGGGUGAGAUGACACUUUGUCUUUUAUAUUUUUAAUAUAUGUUUAUAUGUUCACUUUUAUAGGUUAGAGAUAAAAACAGAUGGCAUAAAAAAUGUUGAUUGACAAAGUCAUGGACGUACCUAUGAUCGACUAAACUCAAAACUCAUCAAGUUUUACACAAGGGGAUGCAUAAAGAUAAUUAUUGUUCCUUAUAUAUAUAUAUAUAUAUAUUGCACAUGAUAAUACAAAAGGUGUAUUUCUAUAUAUGUUUACUUUUGCAGAGUAUAAGAGAGGUAGAGAUGGAUUAUGUCGAUGUUCAGAAAGAAUCCAUCGACAAUGGUCCCGAGGCAAUGUCGUACAAUCAGGAAAAAAGCUAAAAGCCCGUGGCAACGCACGGGCAUUCUACUAGUCUUAGCUAAGGAGCCAAUUAGGAGCAAUCCCUAGUCGAUGCUUAUUGGGAGCAACUAGUUCAUGGGUACCGCCCUUGGGGAGGGGGGGGGGGCUUCCUAGUGAAUGCGCGCAUCGGUGCUCCACCCAUCAUGCGUCGCGCGAUGGAGGCACUCAGCAUGUGCUUUUGGCGUUUUGGGCCUUUUUUGUUUUUAUUCGGGUUUUGGGUUUUUCAAUUUUACCAGGUUUUUUCUUUAUUCUCUGAUUUUUUUUCUUUCUAUUUAUUCUUUGCUUUCUUUGUUUCUUGCAGUGCUUUUCACGUGAAGCAUAAAAAGCACAAUUUGUACUCAUGGUGAAAAACAAUUGUGCUUUGGGAUGAAGUACACUUGUUCUUUCGUGUCAAGCACAAACUACGCUUAUGUGUUUUCCAAAAAAUUGAAAAACAUAGUUGUCGGAGUAAUGGGCCACGGGUAGGCUAACCCGAGGCCCAAAACCUUUCAAGACAUCGGGGCUGACUGCGCCCCUCAAGACGACAGAUGAAGAGCCGCCUUCUGGAGGACGGCUGAAGGAACAGUCGGCUGCCCGUAUGCAUCCGAGUCCUAGAGGCGAGGUCAAGACCGGCCGACUCCACCUGGCGGCUUCCGGAGAAGCCGGCCGCGGGAGUCGGCCUGAUGCCCCACAAGUAUAGGGGAUCUAUCGUAGUCCUUUCGAUAAGUAAGAGUGUCGAACCCAACGAGGAGCAGAAGGAAAUGAUAAGCGGUUUUCAGCAAGGUAUUCUCUGCAAGUACUGAAAUAAGUGGUAACAGAUAGUUUUGUGAUAGGAUAAAUUGUAACGAGCAAUAAAUAAUAAAAGUAAAUAAAGUGCAGCAAGGUGGCCCAAUCCUUUUUGUAGCAAAGGACAAGCCGGAACAAACUCUUAUAAUAGGAAAAGCGCUCCCGAGGACACAUGAGAAUAUCGUCAAGCUAGUUUUCAUCACGUUCAUAUGAUUCGCGUUCGAUACUUUGAUAAUUUGAUAUGUGGGUGGACCGGUGCUUGGGUGUUGUUCUUACUUAAACAAGCAUCCCACUUAUGAUUAACCUCUAUUGCAAGCAUCCACAACUACAACAAAAGUGUUAAGGUAAACCUAACCAUAGCAUGAAACAUAUGGAUCCAUAUCAGCCCUUACGAAGCAACGCAUAAACUAGGGUUUAAGCUUCUGUCACUCUAGCAACCCAUCAUCUACUUAUUACUUCUCAAUGCCUUCCUCUAGGCCCAAAUAAUGGUGAAGUGUUAUAUAGUCUACGUUCACAUAACACCACUACAGGCUAGACAACAUACAUCUUAUCAAAAUAUCAAACGAAUACCAAAUUCACAUGACUACUCAUAGCAAGACUUCUCCCUUGUCCUCAGGAACGAACGUAAUUACUCACAAAUCAUAUUCAUGUUCAUAAUAAGAGGGGUAAUAAUAUGCAUAUAGGAUCUGAACAUAUGAUCUUCCACCAAUUAAACCAACUAGCAUCAACUACAAGGAGUAAUCAACACUACUAGCAACCUACUAGCACCAAUCCCGGACUUUGAGACAAGAAUUGGAUACAAGAGAUGAACUAGGGUUUGGAGAUGAGAUGGUGCUGGUGAAUAUGUUGGUGGAGAUUGCCCUCUCCCAAUGAGAGGAGCGUUGGUGAUGACGAUGGUGAUGAUUUCCCCCUCCGGGAGGGAAGUAUCCCCGGCAGAACAGCUCUGCCGGAGCUCUAGAUUGGAUCCGCCAAGGUUCCGCCUCGUGGCAGCGGAGUCUCGUCCCGAAAAGUUCCCCCUUAUUUUUUUCUCAUCGAAAGACCUCAUAUAGGAGAAGAUGGGUAUCGGAGAGCCACCAGGGGGCCCACGAGGUAGGGGGCGCGCCCUAGGGGGGGGGGGCG
rnacentral:lncRNA from 1 species